GUGCAAACUUUGGAAGCACAUAUGCUAAAAUUGGAAUGAUGUAUAGACGAUCAGCAUGGUGACUGCGCAAUGAUGACAUGCAAAUUUGUAAAGCAUUCCACAUUUUU
ensembl:snRNA U6 U6 spliceosomal RNA